ensembl:lncRNA novel transcript, antisense to ACSL1
UUGCUACAAACACUGCGUACACAUUAUUCUAUUUAAUCUUCAUAACCCAGUGAGGAUAUCAACCAGGAUAUGGCAUUGCAUUGGAUCCCAACCAGGAUAUGACGUUACAUUGGAUCCCAACCAGGAUAUGGCAUUGCACUGGAUCCCAACCAGGAUAUGGCAUUGCACUGGAUCCCAACCAGGAUAUGGCAUUGCGUUGGAUCCCAACCAGGUUAUGGCAUUACAUUGGAUCCCAACCAGGUUAUGGCAUUGCAUUGGAUCCCAACCAGGAUAUGACAUUGCAUUUACUCAUCACGCCUCCUUAGGUUCCUCUUGGCUGUGACGGUUUCUCAGACUAUCCUUGUUUUUUAGGACCUUGACAGUUUUGAGGCAUACUGGAGAGCUCAACGUGGGCGUUUCUUUCUGUAACAAGUAUGCAUCAUGGCUGGCUGACUCCUCCCCAUAACAAGCAGUUUAAAGGUAUUGGAAAACCCAAGCAUUGACUCUCCAGACCAGCCUCGCACCUAAGAACGCCGUGGGAUGCAGUUUCAGACAGUGAGAAAUCUGCUGGGGAUGCCUGGGAAAGGGACAUACCUGGCAGGUGCCGCUCCAUGGCCUUCUUGCUGCCUUGAAUUGGGACAUGAGCCUGAGUCGCAGCAGCCGUCUUGUGACUGAGAGGUGGCAAGCAGGAGGAAGAGGCUAAGAGAAUAGAGACACUGUUGAGCUGCUGAAGCACAGCAAGCGGCCACUUCUCUAUGCUUCUUGCUAUUUGACUGUUAAGCUAGUGCAAGUUACUUUUCUGGUCAGAAUGAAUUCAUAACUGAAACAUGC